rnacentral:rRNA from 1 species
AUUGAACGCUGGCGGCAUGCCUUACACAUGCAAGUCGAACGGCAGCACGGGGCAACCUGGUGGCGAGUGGCGAACGGGUGAGUAAUGCAUCGGAACGUACCUUUCAGUGGGGGAUAACGUAGCGAAAGUUACGCUAAUACCGCAUCUUCUGUGAGCAGGAAAGCAGGGGAUCGCAAGACCUUGCGCUGAUUGAGCGGCCGAUGUCAGAUUAGCUAGUUGGUGAGGUAAAGGCUCACCAAGGCGACGAGCUGUAGCGGGUCUGAAAGGAUGAUCCGCCACAAUGGAACUGAGACACGGUCCAGACUCCUACGGGAGGCAGCAGUGGGGAAUUUUGGACAAUGGGGGCAACCCUGAUCCAGCCAUGCCGCGUGAGUGAAGAAGGCCUUCGGGUUGUAAAGCUCUUUCGGCCGGGAAGAAAUCGCACGGGCUAAUACCCUGUGUGGAUGACGGUACCGGAAUAAGAAGCACCGGCUAACUACGUGCCAGCAGCCGCCGUAACAC